UCUAGCCAUGGGCAGGUUGAAGGUUGGGUAACACUAACUGGAGGACCGAACCGACUACUGUUGAAAAAGUAGCGGAUGACUUGUGGCUGGGGGUGAAAGGCCAAUCAAACCGGGAGAUAGCUGGUUCUCCCCGAAAUCUAUUUAGGUAGAGCCUUGAAUGAAUACCUUUGGGGGUAGAGCACUGUUUCGGCUAGGGGGCCAUCCCGGCUUACCAACCCGAUGCAAACUCCGAAUACCAAAGAGUAAUGUUCAGGAGACACACGGCGGGUGCUAACGUCCGUCGUGGAGAGGGAAACAACCCAGACCGCCAGCUAAGGCCCCAAAUUCCUAGUUAAGUGGGAAACGAGGUGGGAAGGCAUAGACAGCUAGGAGGUUGGCUUAGAAGCAGCCAUCCUUUAAAGAAAGCGUAAUAGCUCACUAGUCGAGUCGGCCCGCGCGGAAGAUGUAACGGGGCUCAAACUAGGAGCCGAAGCUGCGGAUUUGAAUUUGUUUUCAAGUGGUAGGGGAGCGUUGUGUAAGCCUGUGAAGGUGUGUCGUAAGGCAUGCUGGAGGUAUCACAAGAGCGAAUGCUGACGUGAGUAACGAUAAUGCGAGUGAAAAGCUCGCACGCCGGAAGAUCAAGGGUUCCAGUCCAACGUUAAUCGGGGCUGGGUGAGUCGACCCCUAAGGCGAGGCCGAAAGGCGUAGUCGAUGGGAAAUCGGUUAAUAUUCCGAUACUUGUUUAUAAUGCGAUGGAGGGACGGAGAAGGUUAUGCCAGCCUGGCGAUGGUUGUCCAGGUGGAAGGAUGUAGGUUUACAGUUUAGGCAAAUCCGGACUGUUUUAUACCGAGAUCUGAUAGCAAGCGGUACUUGUACCGUGAAGUGGCAAAUACCAUGCUUCCAGGAAAAGCUUCUAAGCAAUAGUUAUAAACGAAUCGUACCCUAAACCGACACAGGUGAUCAGGUAGAGAAUACCAAGGCGCUUGAGAGAACUCUGCUGAAGGAACUAGGCAAAAUGGUACCGUAACUUCGGGAGAAGGUACGCUGAUGGUGGUGAAGCCCUUGCGGUGUAAGCUACUGUCAGUCGCAGAUACCAGGCUGCUGCAACUGUUUAUUAAAAACACAGCACUCUGCAAACACGAAAGUGGACGUAUAGGGUGUGAUGCCUGCCCGGUGCUGGAAGGUUAAUUGAUGGGGUUAGCGUAAGCGAAGCUCUUGAUCGAAGCCCCAGUAAACGGCGGCCGUAACUAUAACGGUCCUAAGGUAGCGAAAUUCCUUGUCGGGUAAGUUCCGACCUGCACGAAUGGCGCGCUGUCUCCAGCAGAGACUCAGUGAAAUCGAAAUCGCAGUGAAGAUGCUGUGUACCCGCGGCUAGACGGAAAGACCCCGUGAACCUUUACUACAGCUUUACAUUGAACUUUGACCUGACUUGUGCAGGAUAGGUGGGAGGCUUUGAAGCAGACACGCUAGUGUUUGUGGAGCCAAUCUUGAAAUACCACCCUGGUCAUGUCGGGGUUCUAACUCAGGUAUAACAAUACCGAGGACAAUGUAUGGUGGGUAGUUUGACUGGGGCGGUCUCCUCCUAAAGAGUAACGGAGGAGUACGAAGGUGCGCUCAGAACGGUCGGAAAUCGUUCAUAGAGUAUAAAGGCAAAAGCGCGCUUAACUGCGAGACCCACAAGUCGAGCAGGUACGAAAGUAGGUCUUAGUGAUCCGGUGGUUCUGUAUGGAAGGGCCAUCGCUCAACGGAUAAAAGGUACUCUGGGGAUAACAGGCUGAUACCGCCCAAGAGUUCAUAUCGACGGCGGUGUUUGGCACCUCGAUGUCGGCUCAU
rnacentral:rRNA from 1 species